rnacentral:lncRNA from 1 species
UUUUUUCUUUUUCUUUUUCUUUUUUUUUUUUUUUGUGUGUGUGUGUGUCUUUUUGUCUUUUUUUGUUGUUGUUGUUGCUAUUUCUUGGGCCGCUCCCGCGGCAUAUGGAGGUUCCCAGGCUAGGGGUUCAAACUGGAGCUACAGCUGCCAACCUACACCACAGCCACAGCAACACCAGAGCCAAGCCACGUCUGCAACGUACACCACAGCUCACAGCAACGCUGGAUCCCCGACCCACUGAGCAAGGCCAGGGAUUGAACCCACAUCCUCAUGAACUCUAGUCAGAUUCAUUUCCUCUAUGCCACCAAGAGAACUUUCUGGGGUCAGGUUUUGGGAGAACCGGUCCUGUCUCCAAGCCAGGCCGAGCUGCCCUCCAGCCUCAGUCUGUGAAGGGUUUGUGUGCAAAGCCAGGAGGCCAUAGUGCCUUGCAGCUGGGAGGGGUGAUGGGGGGCGGGGUACCGCCCAAGCAGAGACUGGGUGGAGGGGUAGCCCAGGUCGCCCCAGGCCUCCCCGAGGGACUGCCGGAAGCACAGGUUUGUGGGGGACACCGUAGGACUUGAGGACCCCCAGCUUCUGCCUCCUACAAAGACGACCAGGUGCCACCUUCCUUCCUCCUUUCCUGACCCCAGGGUCUCAACUAAGCCCCCAGCACCGCCAUGAGGAAGUCACGGAGUAUCCCUGGGGUGGGGGAUAAGGGCCACCUGAAAACAUGUGGGGACUGUACCUACUUAUUAGUAUCUCAGGACUCAAUAAAUAUGCAUCAAUGAAAGAACAAAGUAAGUGAAUGAACAAAGAGAUUGAAGCAAGUACGACUGACUGACCAACUGGGGAGAAUUACCCUCCUCCACCCUUACAUAUACCUCAUCGAACUCCUACUCACCCAUCAAAGCCCUAUCACAAUAUCACCUCCUCUCUGGAGCCCUCCCUGAUCCCUGCAUUCUGGGCUGCCUCCGUGCCAGAAAAUAGGUUGGUCCCAGCCACCGUCACAUGGCUUUGCUGCUGUCUCCCACCACCUGCCGUCUCUGACUCCAAAACUAGAGUUCAAGGAGAAAGCCCAGGUGCGACCCUGGUUAGCCAGAGCCAGGCACAGAGCAGGAGCCCCUUCCAGCCAGGCCCUCGCUGGGCUCUGGGGGCAAGAUGCAGGAGCCUUCAUUGCCGUGUGAUCUUGGGCAAGUCAAGCCCUCCUCUCGGAGCCUCAUCCUCAGGGGGCCAGUGUCUCAGACCCAGCCCACGGUGGACCUCAGAAUGCCCGCUGGUGAGGCCAACGCCUUGGUCUUUCCGGGCUUGGCUCUGCACCCCCUUCUGAAGAUAACGCUAUUCCCAGAAAUAUUGACAAGCAGCCACUGCUAUUUCACAAGACGAGCAAGGCCAAGGGUGCCUUGCCCAAAAUAGCCUGGCAGGCAGCCUGCGUGAUCAAUGUGGGAGGAGCCCGAUCCCUGCGGCCGUCAUCUCUGCAUCAGGCUUUCCCAGUAGCCCCUUCCCAGGAAGAGAAACCCGUCUGGGGACCCAGCGAGGCAGGAUUGGCCCAGGGAUGCCCACAGCCAGCUGGGGGCGGGGGCUACCGGGCUCAGCCGGGACCCUCCCCAUCAUCUACCCCUUCCUUCCAGUCCUUGGGGCAGGACCCAGGGCCGGCCGCCCUCACGGUCCACCCUCUCCUGGAGCCUCUGGUCCCCUCCAGCGGCUCGGCCAUCCCGCUCCACGCUGGUGCCUCUCAGCCUCCCCCUGGCCAGGCAGACACCGCCCAGCCUCUGCCCCGGCCCAGGCCAGCAGCCCUCACUCCUGCCUGCCUCUCGGCUCCCCGGCACCAGGCUGAGCCCCUCAGGCCCACGCAGACUCUCCCCGCCUCCACCUCCACCUCCUCCUGGGCCCUGCAUCGUCAGCCCCAAGUCUGCAGCACCUUCCCUGGGGGGGUUUCGAAUCCCACUGCUGCCAGGGCAGAGCCCCCCACAGCCCCCCCUGUUACCCCAGGAGUGGCAGUCCCCUGCAAGGCCCCGCUGUCCCUGUACCUCCGAUGGCUCCAGCAACAAAAUCCAUGGACAAUGUGGGUGGUGGGGAAGGCCCUGGGUCAGCCUGCCUGAUGCCACCGCCAGGGU